CACUGCCAAGGCUUUUUCUGGGAAUUUGCUCUGGUCCUGCUACUUCCCUGGGGGUGCUCAACUGCUGUGUUUUGUUUGCAGGGGGAAUAAAAUGCUCAACUGUCAGCUCCUGAAUGGCCUGUCAGAGACCAAGGCAAGGACCAGCCCUCCUUCAGCUCUGUGUGCAGCAGUAACCACAGCUGCAGAUUAGAAGUACUUUGUUUGUGAUUCCUGGGUGCUCUGCACUUGAUGCAUCGUCUCCCGACAGAUGCAGGGCAAACUCCGCUCCUCCCGUCUGGCCUGGGCUGCAGUGAUGGAUUAAGUGGAGUAGUAGGAGUCCUGGUGGAAGCAGUGCAUCUGAAGUGAACUUCUAUGUAGAAGAAAUUGCCAUUGACAUGGAUUCUCCACUCAGAACCUCUAAACUGAGCAACGACAAGCUUUCCUGUUCUGCCCCAUUAAGGAGGUCUCCAAGCAUUUUCAAAGGAAGCUAACAUUCACAGAUUGAAAAACUUCCCAUCUUGAGGUUUCAGUGACUGAGUUUGAAGCCAGCCAGAGGAACCUGAGAGUGUUGAGCCUUUGACACAUGAUUUCCUCCCAAAAAGUCUGCACUCUAGACCUUGGCCUCUCUCCCAGACCCCUGUGCUGACCAGACUGAUGAUGGGGAAUUCACUGGAGCCAGUCAUGUCCCAUGGGGUGGCAGCAGGACGUGUUGUCUCCUGUGGCCACUGCUAUCAGCUGGAUGCCCCUGGAAGGGAGGAUGUUGGCAAGCCAAGUGGCCUUUAAAAGCAGGCUGGAAUUUAAAGAGGUGCCAGUCUCUGAAGCCCCUGUUCCUGCCCUGACCUCUCAGUGUUUUGGGAGGAGUUCACCAGUCUAGAAACAUCUGGUGCUUUUUCUUCUUCUGCCAGCAACAUUAGAUGUCGAAUUGAAGGGAAACACAAUACAUCACCUUCCUCCUGGGCUGCCAUUCAGCCAAGAGUAACAGAGAUUAACCUUCAAUCACAUGAGGGCUGGAGCUGAAGGAAACCUUCCUGAGGACACGCUGGAGAAACAUUUUCAUUAGCAGAGGAGAACGUGACAGAGAUGAAGUGGCCCUUCACCUCAGCUACCAGACCUCUUGCCUUCCUUGUGUUAACAGGACAGGGAAUGCAACUGAGGAGCUCGGGCCAGCUGUGGUGCUCUAAGUGCUGUGUGCAUCCAGAUGUGAGAAACAGCUGUGAUGCAGCAAAGCAGCGCUUUUAUCGUCUGCUGGGGCUGGUCUUGGUUUUCCUCCUGCCUAUGAGCUCUCACUGCUAGAAAUAAACUGUCUCUCAACACUGAAAGAAGAAAGUAUGUGCCAGGGUAUGAGCCAGAAAAACAAUGUCCUUGGGUGAUAAUAUCCAUGAGGCCAGGAGGUAUCACAGCCUCUGGCUCCUCAGUGCGUUUUGCAAAUUUAACAGGACUGCCUUGGUGGUGGUAGAGGCUUUCUCUGCUCCAUGGAAAGAUGUUCCACAGCUCUUUGCUCUUUCUUUGCAUCCCCCUAAGGCAGCUGAGGUGCCCAGGAUUCGCUUCUGCUAUUGAUGAAACACACCCUGGACCCCAGCUGGGUGCCUGGCACAGACCUGUCUGUCCCAGUUACUGGAAUUACCAGCAGGAUCCCUGCAGCUCUGUCUGCUGUCCCCCACCACCUCACCUCCCUGGGGCUGGCGUGCUCCUGUCAAAGGCAGGCUUCAUCUCUUUCAUUCACAGCUGAAGGAUGCCUUGCCUGCUCCUAUCUUGCAGAGUGUUCUCUCUCAGGGACUGCCUGUGGUGCUGCACUAACAUCACAUCUCUGUGGUGAAGGACACAACGACAGCCUACUCCUGCCACCAGCUCCCUGGAG